rnacentral:rRNA from 1 species
UGAGCAAUCUGCCCUUCUCAUCGGAAUAAGCGUUGGAAACGACGUCUAAUGCCGAAUACGACCUCCUUUCGCAUGAUCGGAGGUGGAAAGCUCCGGCGGAGAAGGAUGAGCUCGCGGCCUAUCAGCUAGUUGGUGUGGGUAAUGGCCCACCAAGGCGACGACGGGUAGCCGGCCUGAGAGGAUGACCGGCCACACGUGGGACUGAGACNCGGCCCAGACUCCGUAGGA